GACGAACGCUGGCGGCGUGCCUAAUACAUGCAAGUAGAACGCUGAAAAGAGGAGCUUGCUCUUCUUGGAUGAGUUGCGAACGGGUGAGUAACGCGUAGGUAACCUGCCUUGUAGCGGGGGAUAACUAUUGGAAACGAUAGCUAAUACCGCAUAACAAUGGAUGACCCAUGUCAUUUAUUUGAAAGGGGCAAAUGCUCCACUACAAGAUGGACCUGCGUUGUAUUAGCUAGUAGGUGAGGUAACGGCUCACCUAGGCGACGAUACAUAGCCGACCUGAGAGGGUGAUCGGCCACACUGGGACUGAGACACGGCCCAGACUCCUACGGGAGGCAGCAGUAGGGAAUCUUCGGCAAUGGGGGCAACCCUGACCGAGCAACGCCGCGUGAGUGAAGAAAGUUUUCGGAUCGUAAAGCUCUGUUGUAAGUCAAGAACGAGUGUGAGAGUGGAAAGUUCACACUGUGACGGUAUCUUACUAUAAAGGGACGGUUAACUACGUGCCAGCACCCGCGGUAUUACGUAGGGUCCCGAGCGUUGUCCGGAUUUAUGGGGCGUAGCGAGCGCGGCGGUUUGAUAAGUCUGAAGUUAAGGCUGUGGCUCAACCUUAGUUCGCUUUGGAAACUGUCAAACUUGAGUGCAGAAGGGGAGAGUGGAAUUCCAUGUGUAGCGGUGAAAUGCGUAGAUAUAUGGAGGAACACCGGUGGCGAAAGCGGCUCUCUGGUCUGUAACUGACGCUGAGGCUCGAAAGCGUGGGGAGCGAACAGGAUUAGAUACCCUGGUAGUCCACGCCGUAAACGAUGAGUGCUAGGUGUUGGAUCCUUUCCGGGAUUCAGUGCCGCAGCUAACGCAUUAAGCACUCCGCCUGGGGAGUACGACCGCAAGGUUGAAACUCAAAGGAAUUGACGGGGGCCCGCACAAGCGGUGGAGCAUGUGGUUUAAUUCGAAGCAACGCGAAGAACCUUACCAGGUCUUGACAUCCCGAUGCUAUUUCUAGAGAUAGAAAGUUACUUCGGUACAUCGGUGACAGGUGGUGCAUGGUUGUCGUCAGCUCGUGUCGUGAGAUGUUGGGUUAAGUCCCGCAACGAGCGCAACCCCUAUUGUUAGUUGCCAUCAUUCAGUUGGGCACUCUAGCGAGACUGCCGGUAAUAAACCGGAGGAAGGUGGGGAUGACGUCAAAUCAUCAUGCCCCUUAUGACCUGGGCUACACACGUGCUACAAUGGUUGGUACAACGAGUUGCGAGUCGGUGACGGCAAGCUAAUCUCUUAAAGCCAAUCUCAGUUCGGAUUGUAGGCUGCAACUCGCCUACAUGAAGUCGGAAUCGCUAGUAAUCGCGGAUCAGCACGCCGCGGUGAAUACGUUCCCGGGCCU
rnacentral:rRNA from 1 species